rnacentral:rRNA from 1 species
UACGUAGGUGGCGAGCGUUGUCCGGAAUUACUGGGUGUAAAGGGCGUGUAGGCGGGAAUGUAAGUCAGAUGUGAAAUGCCAAGGCUUAACCUUGGAGCUGCAUCUGAAACUGCGUUUCUUGAGUGUCGGAGAGGAAAGUGGAAUUCCUAGUGUAGCGGUGAAAUGCGUAGAUAUUAGGAGGAACGCCAGUGGCGAAGGCGACUUUCUGGACGAUAACUGACGCUGAGGCGCGAAAGCGUGGGGAGCAAACAGG